UACGAAGGGGGCUAGCGUUGCUCGGAAUCACUGGGCGUAAAGCGCACGUAGGCGGCUUUCUAAGUCAGGGGUGAAAUCCUGGAGCUCAACUCCAGAACUGCCUUUGAUACUGGAGAGCUCGAGUCCGGAAGAGGUGAGUGGAACUGCGAGUGUAGGAGGUGAAAAUUCGUAGAUAUUCGCAAGAACACCAGUGGCGAAGGCGGCUCACUGGUCCGGUACUGACGCUGAGGUGCGGAAAG
rnacentral:rRNA from 1 species